rnacentral:rRNA from 1 species
AACGAACGCUGGCGGCGUGCCUAACACAUGCAAGUCGAACGAGAAAGGGGCUUCGGCUCCGAGUAAAGUGGCGCACGGGUGAGUAACACGUGGGUAACCUGCCUCUAAGAUUGGGAUAACUCGUCGAAAGAUGAGCUAAUACCGAAUAAGACCACAGUUCCCGCGGGAACAGGGGUCAAAGGUAGCCUCUGCUUGCAAGCUAUCACUUAGAGAUGGGCCUGCGCACCAUUAGCUAGUUGGUAGGGUAACGGCCUACCAAGGCAAAGAUGGUUAGCUGGUCUGAGAGGAUGAUCAGCCACACUGGAACUGAGACACGGUCCAGACUCCUACGGGAGGCAGCAGUGGGGAAUAUUGCGCAAUGGGCGAAAGCUUGACGCAGCAACGCCGCGUGAGUGAUGAAGGCCUUCGGGUCGUAAAACUCUGUCGGGAGGAACGAAUGCUCCUGAGGUUAACAGCCUCGGGAGGUGACGGUACCUUCAAAGGAAGCACCGGCUAACUCUGU